rnacentral:misc_RNA from 1 species
GAUGAAGAACGCAGCGAAAUGCGAUACGUAAUGUGAAUUGCAGAAUUCAGUGAAUCAUCGAAUCUUUGAACGCAUAUUGCGCUCUCUGGUAUUCCGGAGAGCAUGCUUGUUUGAGUAUCAGUAAACACCUCAACUUCCAUAUCUUUUUUGAAAUGGGAGUUGGACUUGAGUGAUCCCAACGCUUUUCCUCACCGAAAAGUGGCGGGUUACUUGAAAUGCAGGUGCAGCUGGACUUUUCUCUGAGCUAUAAGCAUAUCUAUUUAGUCUGCCUAAAAAACAGAUUAUUACCUUUGCUGCAGCUAACAUAAGGAGAUUAGUUCUUGUGCUGACUGAUGCAGGAUUCACAAAGACGGCUUCGGCCGACUUUGUAAACUCGAUCUCAAAUCAAGUAAGACUACCCGCUGAACUUAAGCAUAUCAAUAAGCGGAGGA